AUUGAACGCUGGCGGCAUGCCUUACACAUGCAAGUCGAACGGUAACGCGGGGCAACCUGGCGACGAGUGGCGAACGGGUGAGUAAUGCAUCGGAACGUGCCCAGUAGUGGGGGAUAGCCCGGCGAAAGCCGGAUUAAUACCGCAUACGACCUACGGGUGAAAGGGGGGGAUCGCAAGACCUCUCGCUAUUGGAGCGGCCGAUAUCAGAUUAGGUAGCUGGUGGGGUAAAGGCCUACCAAACCGACGAUCUGUAGCUGGUCUGAGAGGACGACCAGCCGCGCUGGGACUGAGACACGGACCAGAUUCCUACGGAAGGCAGCAGUGGGGAAUUUUGGACAAUGGGCGCAAGCCUGAUCCAGCCAUGCCGCGUGCGGGAAGAAGGCCUUCGGGUUGUAAACCGCUUUUGUCAGGGAAGAAAUCUUUUGAGUUAAUACCUCGGAAGGAUGACGGUACCUGAAGAAUAAGCACCGGCCAACUACGUGCCAGCAGCCGCCGUAAUAC
rnacentral:rRNA from 1 species